rnacentral:rRNA from 1 species
AACUACAGCCAUACCACCUUGUCAAUGCCGAUAUUGUCUGAUGCUGGAAGAUAAGCCGGGUUAGGUCUGGGUAGUACUGAGAUGGGAGACCGCAGAGAAAAGUGCCAUGGGGUAGCAGUGGCUC